rnacentral:antisense_RNA from 1 species
CUCUUUCUUUAUGGAUGGCAAACAGUGUUCAGAUGACAGAUUUUGGAAAAUUGUCUUAGGAGACGCAUUCUCAGGCAGUUCCAGCGUAUUGGUAUUUUGGAUGUUUCUCUGUAUUUUGUCAUACGGUUCAGAAGGGUGAUAGGCUUUCUGUGAACUGCUGGGCUUCAAGAAGGCUAUUAUCUUCCACUCAGGUUUAAUUGAGGAAUUUAUGGGAUUUUGCCACUUUGUGAGGUUCAGUGCUAGAAUUUCUGCAUUGGAUGGAUUAAGAAUCUACUGGGAGCCAAGUCACUUAAAAGUAUCAGCCUGAGGGAAAAGGGUGAAGUGACAUCUUUACUGAGACCUUCCCGGUCAGAUGCAAUCAGAUUGACUGAAAGCUCUCAGAACGAAACGAAAUUCUCCCACCUGGGCAAGCACGUGCUGUCCAGAGAAAUGACUGAUGAGGAGUCAACUCUGCACUACUGCUGGACAACAAUUUCAACAUCUCAUUUAAAACUAAAGCAGUGAGUUAAGGUGGUUUCUGAAUUAUGUAUUAAACUCAGCUUCCAGAUAUA